rnacentral:rRNA from 1 species
AGAGUUUGAUCCUGCUCAGAACGAACGCUGGCGGCGUGCUUAACACAUGCAAGUCGAACGGGAUCCAGAGCUUGCUCUGGUGAGAGUGGCGCACGGGUGAGUAACGCGUGGAUAACCUGCCCUGGUAUCCGGAAUAACAUCUCGAAAGGGGUGCUAAUACCGGAUAAGCCUACGGAGCCCUCGGUCUCUGCAGGAAAAGGUGGCCUCUAUUUAUAAGCUACCGUAUCAGGAUGGGUCCGCGUACCAUUAGCUAGUUGGUGGGGUAAUGGCCUACCAAGGCGACGAUGGUUAGCUGGUCUGAGAGGAUGAUCAGCCACACUGGAACUGAGACACGGUCCAGACUCCUACGGGAGGCAGCAGUGGGGAAUUUUGCGCAAUGGGGGAAACCCUGACGCAGCAACGCCGCGUGAGUGAUGAAGGCUUUCGGGUCGUAAAGCUCUGUCAGAGGGGAAGAAAUGAGAUUGGCUAAUAUCCAAUUUUCUUGACGGUACCCUCAAAGGAAGCACCGGCUAACUCCGUGCCAGCAGCCGCGGUAA